rnacentral:lncRNA from 1 species
CUAGUGGACAGAGUCCACGAUUGAUUAGUCAGAUCAAUCAGUGUGCCUCUCGGCUGUUGUUGCUCACUCUGACGCACAGCAAAGGGGGUCAGCUAGUGGUGCAUCGACUGCGGGAGCCCCGCUAGUCUAAAACUAGACAAAACACACACACAUAUCAGACAACCAUUUGUAGACAGUGCAGCCCCAGGCCUGGAUUUCAGCCUCUUUCAGGGAAUAAAUGCAGUGACACAGCGAGAGUGAAGCAGAGCCACAGGAAGAGUCAGGGACAGAUGGAUUUAAAGACUGAGCCUGAUCCAGCCACCUUGGCCAGGUGGAGACUCAAGGGACAGUGACACCUUUGUGUCCAGAUUGACCUGAGCUCAUGGAUGAGCCUUGAGAUGUGAGGAUUAUUCACAGGAGUCUGCGUCACUACAAACAGUCCAUGGAGUUGUCUGGCACCAGGCCGAGCAGAGGUGCUUUUCCUGGGGUGCAGGAUGGGGGCAGCAUGGCGUUUGGUGCAGGGUCCACGUUCUCAGAAUCCUCCAUUUUCUCAGCACAUCCCUCCCAGUUGAUGUGAAACCUGGUUACACGUGGGUUUGAAGCCAGAAUGUUCCUCUGGAGCUGAGAGAGGGCAAAUAAAGAUGCAUUUAAAUACACAUGCAGACUAGAACUUUUUAAACUAUUUAAUGCUCUUAGGGAAUUUUUGUAAAAUAUCACAAAUAAAAAAAAACUUCAGCUAAUUGGACUAAGUAGUUUUUUUAUACAAUUUUUAAAAAAACUUAUCUUUAGUCAUUUCAGGCCACAAUCAUACUGUUGUUUUAUCAUGUACUAUGAUGAUGCGCUAAUAAAAUAUUGUUGUUAUUAUUAAGCUAACCAUUACCAUGGUAAUAACACUAUUGUAUGAUCAAAGAAAUCAUUUCAUUUAAUAACAAUAAAUACAUUUGUCGGUUUUUAAAUGACAUCUAAGGCACUGGUA